rnacentral:miRNA from 1 species
UUUAAGUUUGACCAAGUUUAUAAAAAAAUAUAACAAACUUUUCAACAUAAAACAUACAUAUUAUAAAAAUAUAUUUAUAAAACAUACAUACUAUAAAAAUAUAUUCAAUGUUAUAUUUAAUGAAACUAAUUUAGUGUUACAGAUAUUAAGUCUUUCAAUAAACUUGGUAAAAUAUAAA